UCUUCUAUUUGGGACAAGCUGCAGGUGCUUACAAGCCCAUGACAAGGAACAGGGGUAGCAGAUAACCCAAGCCCAUAUUGCUACAACUUUACCAAAAAUUAAUCACAAUAAAUCCAACCCAAGUGUGAUUAUUUCUAUAAAUGAACCUAGCUUGACUAGUAUCAGUGGAGGAAAUAGAGGAUCAGGACCGAAACAUUGAGAUUCUUGAGAACCAGAAUGCAACCAAGGAUGGUGAAGAAGAGCCUAAGCAGUACUCUAAAGGUUCUUCAUCGCGAUUGCCAGAUAAAGAUCCAAAGAAGAUUUCACCUAGUGCCGGAAUAAGAGUUGGAUGGGGCGGCACAAUGAAGUGCCGAUUAAUGAUUCUAUAGGGAAAAUGGUGGAACUAAUUGAUCAGGAUUUUAAUGAAGUUAAUGAAGCCAUGGAAGGUAUUGAAGAAGAUGAGAACCAUGAGGGCAUUGGUGUUUAUAGUGGUGUCAAGGCAUAAUGUCAGGUUUAUCCUUUCUUAUGCUUUUAUUGUGAAUCCUAAAUUUCUUUUUUGGAAUGUGCAAGGGUGUGGUCAUUCCCGGUUUGUUAAUUUUCUUAAGGAAUACCUUAGCGAACAUAAGUUGGUCAUUGUAGUUUUGGUUGAAAAAAAUGUUUGUGAUCUAAGGCUAACUCCAUUAUAGAGAAAAUUGGUAUGUCGUAUUUUCAUUGUGUUGAAGCG
rnacentral:lncRNA from 1 species